GCUGGAAUAGCUCAGCUGGU
rnacentral:siRNA from 1 species